rnacentral:rRNA from 1 species
UCCACGCCGUAAACGUUGUGAACUAGAUGUGGGAGGAUUUAGCCCCUUCCGUGUCCAAGCUAACGCGAUAAGUUCACCGCCUGGGGACUACGGCCGCAAGGCUAAAACUCAAAGGAAUUGACGGGGGACCCGCACAAGCGGUGGAGCAUGUGGCUUAAUUCGAGGCAACGCGAAGAACCUUACCUGGGUUUGACAUGUUUUGGAAAGCUCUAGAGAUAGAGCCCCUCUUCGGA